rnacentral:rRNA from 1 species
AUGUCUCAGUACAAGCCAAACUAAGGUGAAACCGCGAAAGGCUCAUUAAAUCAGUUAUGGUUCCUUAGAUCGUACCCAAAUUUACUUGGAUAACUGUGGUAAUUCUAGAGCUAAUACAUGCAAACAGAGCUCCGCCCGGAGACGGAAGGAGUGCUUUUAUUAGAUCAAAACCAAUCGGUGGCGGGUUCGCUCGUCAUCGCACAACUUGGUGACUCUGAAUAACUUUACGCUGAUCGCACGGUCUCGCACCGGCGACGCAUCUUUCAAAUGUCUGCCUUAUCAACUGUCGAUGGUAGGUUCUGCGCCUACCAUGGUUGUAACGGGUAACGGGGAAUCAGGGUUCGAUUCCGGAGAGGGAGCCUGAGAAACGGCUACCACAUCCAAGGAAGGCAGCAGGCGCGCAAAUUACCCACUCCCGGCACGGGGAGGUAGUGACGAAAAAUAACGAUACGGGACUCAUCCGAGGCCCCGUAAUCGGAAUGAGUACACUCUAAACCCUUUAACGAGGAUCAAUUGGAGGGCAAGUCUGGUGCCAGCAGCCGCGGUAAUUCCAGCUCCAAUAGCGUAUAUUAAAGUUGUUGCGGUUAAAAAGCUCGUAGUCGAAUCUGUGUCUCGCGCCGCCGGUUCAUCGUCCGCGGUGUUAACUGGCGUGCCGCGAGACGUAUUGCCGGUGGGCUUAGCCCGCAAGGGCGGCCCAAACAAUCCCGCCGCGGUGCUCUUCACUGAGUGUCGAGGUAGGCCGGCACGUUUACUUUGAACAAACUAGAGUGCUUAAAGCAGGCUAGAACUUUGCCUGAAUAUGUGUGCAUGGAAUAAUGGAAUAGGACCUCGGUUCUAUUUUGUUGGUUUUCGGAACCCCGAGGUAAUGAUUAAUAGGAACGGAUGGGGGCAUUCGUAUUGCGA